rnacentral:misc_RNA from 1 species
UCCGGUUUGGCACCGGCAGUCUCCCAUGAGUCCCCGGCAUGAUCCGCUGGCAACAUGGGACAGGGGUUGCGCUCGUUGCGCCACUUAAGGCAACACCUCACGGCACGAGCUGACGACAGCCAUGCACCACCUGUGCGGGCUCCGAAGAGCACCGGCUUUCACCGGUUUCACCCUGCAUGUCAAGCCCUGGUAAGGUUCUUCGCGUUGCGUCGAAUUAAGCCACAUGCUCCGCCGCUUGUGCGGGUCCCCGUCAAUUCCUUUGAGUUUUAGCCUUGCGGCCGUACUCCCCAGGCGGGGUGCUUAAUGCGUUUGCGCCGGCCCCCAAGGGGUCGCUCCCCCAGAGACCUAGUGCCCAUCGUUUACGGCGUGGACUAC